UUUGCUCUGCCAGCAUCAGGCCCAG
rnacentral:misc_RNA from 1 species